rnacentral:rRNA from 1 species
GAAUUCAACUCCUACGGGAGGCAGCAGUGGGGAAUAUUGGACAAUGGGCGGAAGCCUGAUCCAGCAACGCCGCGUGAGGGAUGACGGCCUUCGGGUUGUAAACCUCUUUCACCUCCGACGAAGCGAAAGUGACGGUAGGGGGAGAAGAAGCACCGGCCAACUACGUGCCAGCAGCCGCGGUAAUACGUAGGGUGCGAGCGUUGUCCGGAAUUAUUGGGCGUAAAGGGCUCGUAGGCGGUUUGCCGCGUCGGGAGUGAAAAUACCGGGCUUAACUCGGUGCUGGCUUCCGAUACGGGCAGACUAGAGGUAUUCAGGGGAGAACGGAAUUCCUGGUGUAGCGGUGAAAUGCGCAGAUAUCAGGAGGAACACCGGUGGCGAAGGCGGUUCUCUGGGAAUUACCUGACGCUGAGGAGCAAAAGUGUGGGGAGCGAACAGGAUUAGAUACCCUAGUAGUCCAGGCGUU